UCCGGUGGCAAUGGCGGAGGGGUUACACCCGAUCCCAUUCCGAACUCGGAAGUUAAGCCCUCCUGCGCCGAUGGUACUGCACGGGCGACCGUGUGGGAGAGUAGGACGCUGCCGGAU
rnacentral:rRNA from 1 species